UGUCGGUAUUUGGAGGCGCGAAUUUUGUCUCUUUGUUUGCUAAGCGAUGGAACAUCGGUUGCCGACUCAAACGGAAAUCGGAGUAAGCACGCUCGAAAAAUUCGGCGGCGAAACACCCCACGUUACCGAGUUUAACAAUGCGUUAUCGGAUUCGGAAAUGAGAUUCGACAACGUCACAAAAAUCCGACCGGUCGAAUCCCCCGGACGGCGGCGUCCGCAUAGAACGGCUCCUGUAUAAUGGUGAAUCACCUAGAACGAGCCAUGGGUGCGGUGGUGGUGGAUGCGAUGAGCCUUCUCCUUCUCCCUCGAAGCUUCGCCGUUUCCCCCUCCUCCUCCUCCUCCUCCUCCUCCUCCCCUUCCUCCUCGCACCUGCGAUUCCUCUCCACGAAUCGCCUCGCUCCUCAUCUUAGGGCACCAUUUCUCAGGUGGAAGAUAUCUAAUGGGGGGAGAGCGAUUAGAAGCGUGGUGUGUACGAGUGCGUUGAAUUCCUCGGAGAAUUACGACGCCGAUAGCAGCAAAUCGCCCUCGCAGGAAGCAGCUUUUGAUAUAAAGCUUCCCAGAGGAAGUUUCAUGGUUGAGUUCACAUGCGAUUCUUGUGGUGAAAGAACUAAGCACUUGAUAAACCGAGUGGACUACGUAAAGGGAACUGUGUUUCUCCAGUGUGCAGGCUGUCUUGUCUACCACAAGUUUGUCGAUAACCUUGGGCUAGUGGAUGAGUACGAUCUGCGUGAGGAACAUGAUGUGGAUGAUGUGGAUUCCGAUGGCUUAGAUUGAUUUGGCUUCGACAUGCUAUUUGUCUGUUUUAUGCACAAUAUUUUUCCUCAAGUAAAAUACAAAACUGCUUUUCUACAUGCUUUAUCGCUUACAUUGUUCAAAGGAUACAAGUUGGGAAGAUGGAAUGCAGUUUUAGAGCAUAUUAUUAGAAGGCUUUCAGUGAGCAACUCGGUUUGGAAGGGCCACAAGGGAGAACGGAAGUGAUGCUACCGACAAACAUCAAGACGGGUGUGGUUGAUGAAACGCGCUUAAGUAUGAGGUCUUCUCAGUAAUUUGCCUAGAAGCUUUUUGACACUUUGUCCACGUUGAGAUUCGUCGUUGUUGAAAGCUGAGUACACGUGGAGAGAAUAGUUGUGCCCUAUUUGGGUUAUUUUUAUUAACCAGAUAGUGUACUAUUGGGAAUAUUUUAAGUGAAUUUUGCUGGGUAAUUGAACUGGCCUGUGUGGAAUAAACUUGAAUCCGCGUCACCUUUUUUUGUUUGUGUUCGAAAUGAGAUGGAAAGCAGAUUCUUUAUUGGCUCUCUC